UACGUAGGUGGCAAGCGUUGUUCGGAUUUACUGGGCGUAAAGGGCGCGUAGGCGGCCACCGCAAGUCGACUGUGAAAUCUCCGGGCUUAACUCGGAAAGGUCAGCCGAUACUGCGGGGCUAGAGUGCAGAAGGGGCAACUGGAAUUCUCGGUGUAGCGGUGAAAUGCGUAGAUAUCGAGAGGAACACCUGCGGCGAAGGCGGGUUGCUGGGCCGACACUGACGCUGAGGCGCGAAGGCCAGGGGAGCGAACGGG
rnacentral:rRNA from 1 species